UUGAACGCUGGCGGCAGGCCUAACACAUGCAAGUCGAACGGUAACAGGAAGCAGCUUGCUGCUUCGCUGACGAGUGGCGGACGGGUGAGUAAUGUCUGGGAAACUGCCUGAUGGAGGGGGAUAACUACUGGAAACGGUAGCUAAUACCGCAUAACGUCGCAAGACCAAAGAGGGGGACCUUAGGGCCUCUUGCCAUCGGAUGUGCCCAGAUGGGAUUAGCUAGUAGGUGGGGUAACGGCUCACCUAGGCGACGAUCCCUAGCUGGUCUGAGAGGAUGACCAGCCACACUGGAACUGAGACACGGUCCAGACUCCUACGGGAGGCAGCAGUGGGGAAUAUUGCACAAUGGGCGCAAGCCUGAUGCGGCCAUGCCGCGUGUAUGAAGAAGGCCUUCGGGUUGUAAAGUACUUUCAGCGGGGAGGAAGGGAGUAAAGUUAAUACCUUUGCUCAUUGACGUUACCCGCAGAAGAAGCACCGGCUAACUCCGUG
rnacentral:rRNA from 1 species